rnacentral:lncRNA from 1 species
AUGAAACUACUAACAUUCAUAUCUUUUUCUCUCAUUGCCCCCUUCUCUAGAAUCAAUACUGAAAGAGUUUACUCCACUUCUGAUCAUCAUCAUCAUCAUCAGAAAUGCAAAGCAUGGCUAGUUCAGUCAAUACCCACCGACAUGCCGCACCUCUCUCCAGUGCCUGGUGUUCUGUCAACUGGUAGGUACCCAUUUUCUAUUUGACCUUGUUUUUUGCCUGCUUGAUUUCAUUUUCAACCAUAUUUAUGCCUUAACUUUUAUUGGGUUCUUCAUUACUUCAAGUAUGAGCAAAUGGGUCGGUUUGAUUUGAUAUGGAUUUGAUGAAGAACAAGUUUUUUUUUUUAAGUUGGUAUGUUUUUUUUUAUAAAAAAAUUCGCAAUUUGGCUGUCCUUGAAAAUAGAACCUUUAAUUGCCUGCUUGAUUUCAUUUUCAUGACUUAUCUUUUAUGGGGUUCAUCAUUGCUUCAAGUAUGAGCAAAUGGGUAAGUUUGACUUAAUAUGGAUUUGAUGAAGAACAAGUUUUUUUUAUUCUUUCUUAAGUUGGAUUUUUAAAAAAAAAAUCCCAGNNNNNNNNNNNNNNNNNNNNNNNNNNNNNNNNNNNNNNNNNNNNNNNNNNNNNNNNNNNNNNNNNNNNNNNNNNNNNNNNNNNNNNNNNNNNNNNNNNNNACAAGUUUUUUUAAUUCUUUCUUAAGUUGGAAUUUUUUUUUAAAAUCCCAGUUUGGUUAUCCUUGAAAAUAAAACCAUUAAUUGCUCAAUACGUUUUAGAAAUAAAUUUAUGUUUAAUAUUAGAAGAUUGCUUUUGUUUUAGUUUUUAUUAUUGGACAUGAUUGAUAACUACGCUUGACAAGUAAAUUAAUUGUGUAAUUAAGUACACUUUUUUUAAGCUCAAUUAUGAAACACAACAAUACUACUCUGUAUUACUUUAGGCCAACCAAAAACUACCUACCUGUACUUGGUGAAACUUUUUGUGUGGAUAUGUUUCUGUGUGUACCUUUUGAUAAAGCAUUGUUGUAAUACCCCAGUCCCACAUCGAAAGAUAGGGGAAAAAAUUUAUCUGUAUUUAAGGAAAUAAGUUACUACCAAUAGUACCUUCAAGUCAUGACCUUUUGGGAGCCUGUGGUGGGCUAGAUGAUCCAAGAAGAUACUAUUGAGCCAGUGGUUUGAGGCCUUAUUUGGAUGAAUUUGAUUCGAUUCGGACUUGGGAUUUGACCUAAGAUUUGUUCCGGACUCGGGAUUUGACCCGGGUUGUUUCAUAUGGUAUCAAAGCCGACUCUCGAAAGCUCGGGUCGGGUCAUCCGAUCGGGUUGCCGGAGGUGGGGACACGAAGGCUGGUGGUAUUAUCCCACAAUGGAAAGAUGAAGGUCCGGAGGUGGGGACACGAAGCCAGCCGGUAUUAUCCCACAAUGGCUAGAGAGACAAAGAUCUUUGGGCCGUGUGUGUGAUCGGUUCUGACGGGGACGUCAGAAAUUUAAGUGGGGGAGUUUGUAACUCCCCAGUCCCACAUCGAAAGAUAGGGGAAAAAAUUUGUCUGUAUAUAAGGAAAUAAGUUACUACCAAUAGUACCUUUAAGUCAUGACCUUUUGGGAGCCUGUGGUGGGCUAGAUGACCCAAGAAAAUACUAUUGGGCCAGUGGUUUGAGGCCUUAUUUGGAUGAAUUUGAUUCGAUUCGGACUUGGGAUUUGACCCAAGAUUUGUUCCGGACUCGGGAUUUGACCCGAGUUGUUUCAUAUACUAACUCUGUAACACCCCCUUUCCGAAAUAGAAAGAGAGGUUACUCAAAACAUAACAAAACUGAUGAAUUUAAUAGCAAGGCUCUAAUCCACAAAAGAAUAGUCUUAAACUAAUUAAAUGUCUUAAGACAAACCAUAAUAAAUGCCACAUUGGCUCAAACCACAAUCUGAAAUAACUAUUACAACUCCAAAUAAAUCAACGUAUCAUAGCCUAACGAAAUAUAUCAAAACUAUUGGAUAGAAGGGAGCUCUCGUCACACUUGUCCUUGAUUCCCCUGAUUACCUGUCGGAAGAAAAAUACAGCAUGAGCCAAAUGCCCAGUACGGAUAUAGAAUACAAUUAAUGAAGCGAAAUAACUAACUCAAUUAAAUGAAAUAAAACGAAACUAACUGAAACGAAACGAACAAAACCAACACAACGAAAUAAUAGGCUGAAUCAAAUGGCUGGGUGUUAUUUCAUACCGAGCUCAGAAAUAUACCUUGCCACACAGACAAGUCAAAUAAUGCCACACAGACAAGUCACAUAUAUUGGACCGCGAAUCCAAUGCAUGUAAAAUCGGAAGGCGUGUUUGGCACAAACAUCACCAAUCCGCAGAACAGAACAGAACAAAACAGAAAACUAGGGUCGACCCAUACGCCUCCCACAACAAAACACCAAAUGACCAACUCCCACUGGAGCACAAAACAGAGACGCCGCGGACUAAUCACACCGCCACGGAAAGUGUUAUGCCUCGGUGCCAAGAGGACAUGCCUGUGGUACCCCCACAGGUGGUUAUAGCUCAGGUAUACCCUACGGUAUUCUAACAAAAAUAUAAUGUCACAACACAUGCGACAAAAUAUCAACACAAAGGGGUUCUAACAUGUACAUGUUAAAUCGAACGAAUCGUCAACACAAGUCUCCAAAAUAUACUAACAUGUACAUCACUAUAAAUAUCAAAAUACAAUUUAGACAUGACACACUAGUCUAAAGAGUACAAAUAUGAGUUCCAACUAUGAACGCCAAAGGAAACUAUCACAAUGAAUUGACAAGGAAUAAUUAUGAGAAGCAAUACUAAAUUUCGAAACGAAUAACGAAACGAACAAAUCAAAGACAAAAGAAUCUCGCUGAAAGAGUACGGAAUCCGUACCUGAAUUAAGUAAUGUAAUACCCAAAGUUAUUAUCCCAAUAUUUUUCGUUAAAUUCCUUCCGUCCGAUCUGUUAAAAAUAAUAAAUAAAAAAAUGAUUAGAUUAUAAAUUAUAAUUUAAUUUGAAUUGUCUUGUAAAAUUGAUGUAAUUGGAGGAAUUAAUUUUAUAUUAGUAUAAAUUAUAAUUAUUAGGUAACUUAUAAUUGUAUUAUUUUUAUUUUUAUUAGAUCGGACGGAAGGAAUUUAACGAAAAAUAUUGGGAUAAUAACUUUGGGUAUUACAUUACUUAAUUCAGGUACGGAUUCCGUACUCUUUCAGCGAGAUUCUUUUGUCUUUGAUUUGUUCGUUUCGUUAUUCGUUUCGAAAUUUAGUAUUGCCUCUCAUAAUUAUUCCUUGUCAAUUCAUUGUGAUAGUUUCGUUUGGCGUUCAUAGUUAGAACUCAUAUUUGUACUCUUUAGACUAGUGUGUCAUGUCUAAAUUGUAUUUUGAUAUUUAUAGUGAUGUACAUGUUAGUAUAUUUUGGAGACUUGUGUUGACGAUUCGUUCGAUUUAUCAUGUACAUGUUAGAACCCCUUUGUGUUGAUAUUUUGUUGCAUGUGUUGUGAUAUUAUAUUUUUGUUAGAAUACCGUAGGGUAUACCUGAGCUAUAACCACCUGUGGGGGUACCACAGGCAUGUCCUCUUGGCACCGAGGCAUGACACUUUCCGUGGCGGUGUGAUUAGUCCACGGCGUCUCCGUUUUGUGCUCCAGUGGGAGUUGGCCAUUUGGUGUUUUGUUGUGGGAGGCGUAUGGGUCGACCCUAGUUUUCUGUUCUGUUUUGCGGAUUGGUGAUGUUUGUGCCAAACACGCCUUCCGAUUUUACAUGCAUUGGAUUCGCGGUCCAAUGUAUGUGACUUGCCUGUGUGGCAUUAUUUUGACUUGUCUGUGUGGCAAGGUAUAUUUCUGAGCUCGGUAUGAAAUAACACCCAGCCAUUUGAUUCAGCCUAUUAUUUCGUUGUGUUAGUUUUGUUCGUUUCGUUUCAGUUAGUUUCGUUUUAUUUCAUUUAAUUGAGUUAGUUAUUUCGCUUCAUUAAUUGUAUUCUAUAUCCGUACUGGGCAUUUGGCUCAUGCUGUGUUUUUCUUCCGGCAGGUAAUCAGGGGAAUCAAGGACAAGUGUGACGAGA